rnacentral:rRNA from 1 species
ACACUCCUGCGGGAGGCAGCAGUGGGGAAUUUUGGACAAUGGGCGAAAGCCUGAUCCAGCAAUGCCGCGUGAGUGAAGAAGGCCUUCGGGUUGUAAAGCUCUUUUGUCAGGGAAGAAACGGUGAAAGCUAAUAUCUUUUGCUAAUGACGGUACCUGAAGAAUAAGCACCGGCUAACUACGUGCCAGCAGCCGCGGUAAUACGUAGGGUGCAAGCGUUAAUCGGAAUUACUGGGCGUAAAGCGUGCGCAGGCGGUGUUGUAAGUCUGAUGUGAAAUCCCCGGGCUCAACCUGGGAAUUGCAUUGGAGACUGCAAGGCUAGAAUCUGGCAGAGGGGGGUAGAAUUCCACGUGUAGCAGUGAAAUGCGUAGAUAUGUGGAGGAACACCGAUGGCGAAGGCAGCCCCCUGGGUCAAGAUUGACGCUCAUGCACGAAAGCGUGGGGAGCAAACAGGAUUAGAAACCCUUGUAGUCCCAUGA